rnacentral:ribozyme from 1 species
UGCUAUGCAACUCCGAUCUCUACCUCCGCGUGGCACCGGCCGGGAUACGAGUAACCUUAGGGAAGAUCGGGUAAUCAACCUCGGUGGGAGUUUUGGUCGUAUAUGCUGACAGGGACGA